GUGAACAGCUCUGACCUGUAUGGUGAUCAGACCUGGAGAGGAGGGACACCUGGUCCAACAAGGUGAUGGACGGUUGAAAGGACGAAUCACCAAGACGAACAAGACGAGCCGAACGGUGGAGACGAGCCACCACAGGAGCCUUCGUUUCUCCAGGACGAGAGCAGCCAGAAGCUCAAAGUGUGGGCAGAGGAACAGGCUGCUGAGGACGAGCUGGACCACAGUUUCCUGAACUGAAUCCUGAUUUCCUGUGAACAGCUCUGACCUGUAUGGUGAUCAGACCUGGAGAGAAGAGCCACCUGGUCCAACAAGGUGACGGACGAGCCUCCUCAGGACCUGAAGCAGGAAACUGAGGAUCCGUCUCCUGAUGAAACUCCUUCAGGUGCUGCAGGCAGUCCAGAACCGGGCCUGCAUCUGACUGGUUUGUGCUGCUCGUGGCUCAGAUCAGGUGCAGCAGCAGCCGUUCUGCUGCACCUGCCACUUGACUGGUGAACAGCAGGAACAUCACAGGAGGAGGAAGCAGCUGGAAGUGUGACCGCAGUUUGUGCUGCUGUAUGGAACAAUAAAGCUUUAAUGAAGCCACCCGCGCCGCCGGUUCCUCUGAGCGACCCAUUACCCAGAAAGCCAUGCUGGAUCAAGGUAAAGAGUCUGUUUACUCACACGGGGCUCUAUCUCUGUGGCUCGUCGGCUCGUUUCUGCUCUCACAGAUUCAAAUCCUGCUUUCACUUUGUUGCCAAAGUGUUUUUUUGUGUUACUGCUUUUGGCAAAAGACAAAAGAUCCACAAGGUCUAAAUCAGAAAUAUCAAGGUGCCGAUCAGAAUACAAAGAUAUUAAAGAAAAGCAUCAUGUUAGAGAACUUAAACGCUAGAAAUUUAAAUCAUUUCUUCACUAAACAGUGACUCAAAUGAUUCAACAAAUAUAAAAAUAGCGGCUGAUCGAUUUAUUCAUUGAUUAAUCGACCAUAACGAUGCAGCGUGGACCGACAGUUUUGGGUUUCUUGGCUUCUUGGUUUCUCGGCUGAACCGUCAUCACCGGACGCAGCUGAAACACUCAUGAGUUCAUGAAUAUAUGAUAACGGUCACACUUUACUUUAACGCCCUCAUUUAGCACUUAUAGGCGACAUAUUCAUAUUUAAUAAAGAGUUUACAGCGCGCUCGUAUACGGUGGAGAUUUAAGUGAUUAUUAAUGAAGCUGUCAACAUGUGAGUGGAGGCCGGAGUACAAACAGAGGAAAGAAAACGAUAAUAAUGUUAAAUUAUGUUUAUAUGCUGCUUUUAGAUAACAAAGAUAUUCACAUUUUAAAGAUUGUGUUAAAAAAAACUGUA